rnacentral:rRNA from 1 species
AUUGAACGCUGGCGGCAGGCUUAACACAUGCAAGUCGAGCGAGCGGCGGACGGGUGAGUAAUGUCUGGGAAACUGCCCCAUGGGGGGGGAUAACUACUGGAAACGGUAGCUAAUACCACAUACCAUCAGAUAUGUCCAGAUGGGAUUAGCUAGUAGGUGGGGUAACGGCUCACCUAGGCGACGAUCCCUAGCUGGUCUGAGAGGAUGACCAGCCACACUGGAACUGAGACACGGUCCAGACUCCUACGGGAGGCAGCAGUGGGGAAUAUUGCACAAUGGGCGCAAGCCUGAUGCAGCCAUGCCGCGUGUGUGAAGAAGGCCUUCGGGUUGUAAAGCACUUUCAGCGGGGAGGCGUUACCCGCAGAAGAAGCACCGGCUAACUCCGUGCCAGCAGCCGCGGUAAUAC